GACAGAGGCCUCAAGCGUUAGGCGGAAUCACUGGGCUUAAAGCGUGUGUAGGCGGAUCGUUAAGUGUCUUGUGAAAUCCCACGGCUCACCCGUGGAACUGCUGGGCAUACUGGCGAUCUUGGGCCAACUAGGGGCAACUGGAACAAGCGGUGGAGCGGUGAAAUGCGUAGAUAUCGCUUGGAACGCCAAAGGUGAAACAGUGUGCUGGGGUUGUGCCGACGCUGAGACACGAAAGCCAGGGGAGCAAACGGG
rnacentral:rRNA from 1 species